rnacentral:rRNA from 1 species
AACGAACGCUGGCGGCAGGCCUAACACAUGCAAGUCGAGCGAGGACUUCGGUCCUAGCGGCGGACGGGUGAGUAACGCGUGGGAACGUGCCCCUUGGUACGGAAUAGCCCCGGGAAACUGGGAGUAAUACCGUAUGAGCUCUACGGAGGAAAGAUUUAUCGCCAAGGGAUCGGCCCGCGUUGGAUUAGGUAGUUGGUGGGGUAAUGGCCUACCAAGCCGACGAUCCAUAGCUGGUUUGAGAGGAUGAUCAGCCACACUGGGACUGAGACACGGCCCAGACUCCUACGGUAGGCAGCAGUGGGGAAUCUUAGACAAUGGGCGCAAGCUUGAUCUAGCCAUGCCGCGUGAGCGAUGAAGGCCUUAGGGUUGUAAAGCUCUUUCAGCGAGGAAGAUAAUGACUGUACUCGCAGAAGAAGCCCCGGCUAACUCCGUGCCAGCAGCCGCGGUAACAC